GCCCUAGUAACGGCGAGUGAAGCGGCAAUAGCUCAAAUUUGAAAUCUGACUUCCUUGGGAGUCCGAGUUGUAAUUUGCAGAGGGCGCUUUGGCGUCGGUAGCGGUCUAAGUUCCUUGGAACAGGACGUCACAGAGGGUGAGAAUCCCGUACGUGGUCGACUGCCUUCGCCGUGUAAAGCCCCUUCGACGAGUCGAGUUGUUUGGGAAUGCAGCUCUAAAUGGGAGGUAAAUUUCUUCUAAAGCUAAAUACUGGCCAGAGACCGAUAGCGCACAAGUAGAGUGAUCGAAAGAUGAAAAGCACUUUGGAAAGAGAGUCAAACAGCACGUGAAAUUGUUGAAAGGGAAGCGCUUGCCGCCAGCCGUGCCCACGGUGGUUCUCCUCCGCGGGCAGGCCAGUAUCAGUUUGGGCGAUCGGAUAAAGGCCUCUGUCAUGUAUCUCCCUUCGGGGUGACCUUAUAGGGGAGGCGUAAUGCGUUCAGCCCGGACUGAGGUCCGCGCAUCUGCUAGGAUGCUGGCAUAAUGGCUGCAAGCGGCCCGUCUUGAAACACGGACCAAGGAGUCUAACAUCUGUGCGAGUGUUUGGGUGUCAAGCCCGAGCGCGCAAUGAAAGUGAACGGAGGUGGGAACCCUUUGGGUGCACCAUCGACCGAUCCUGAAGUCUUCGGAUGGAUUUGAGUAAGAGCAUGGCUGUUGGGACCCGAAAGAUGGUGAACUAUGCUUGAAUAGGGUGAAGCCAGAGGAAACUCUGGUGGAGGCUCGCAGCGGUUCUGACGUGCAAAUCGAUCGUCAAAUUUGGGCAUAGGGGCGAAAGACUAAUCGAACUAUCUAGUA
rnacentral:rRNA from 1 species